AUUGAACGCUGGCGGCAGGCCUAACACAUGCAAGUCGAACGGUAACAGGAAGCAGCUUGCUGCUUCGCUGACGAGUGGCGGACGGGUGAGUAAUGUCUGGGAAACUGCCUGAUGGAGGGGGAUAACUACUGGAAACGGUAGCUAAUACCGCAUAACGUCGCAAGACCAAAGAGGGGGACCUUAGGGCCUCUUGCCAUCGGAUGUGCCCAGAUGGGAUUAGCUAGUAGGUGGGGUAACGGCUCACCUAGGCGACGAUCCCUAGCUGGUCUGAGAGGAUGACCAGCCACACUGGAACUGAGACACGGUCCAGACUCCUACGGGAGGCAGCAGUGGGGAAUAUUGCACAAUGGGCGCAAGCCUGAUGCAGCCAUGCCGCGUGUAUGAAGAAGGCCUUCGGGUUGUAAAGUACUUUCAGCGGGGAGGAAGGGAGUAAAGUUAAUACCUUUGCUCAUUGACGUUACCCGCAGAAGAAGCACCGGCUAACUCCGUGCCAGCAGCCGCGGUAAUACGGAGGGUGCAAGCGUUAAUCGGAAUUACUGGGCGUAAAGCGUACGCAGGCGGUUUGUUAAGUCAGAUGUGAAAUCCCCGGGCUCAACCUGGGAACUGCAUCUGAUACUGGCAAGCUUGAGUCUCGUAGAGGGGGGUAGAAUUCCAGGUGUAGCGGUGAAAUGCGUAGAGAUCUGGAGGAAUACCGGUGGCGAAGGCGGCCCCCUGGACGAAGACUGACGCUCACGUGCGAAAGCGUGGGGAGCAAACAGG
rnacentral:rRNA from 1 species